rnacentral:rRNA from 1 species
AUUGAACGCUGGCGGCAUGCCUUACACAUGCAAGUCGAACGGCAGCACGGGUGCUUGCACCUGGUGGCGAGUGGCGAACGGGUGAGUAAUACAUCGGAACGUACCUUAUCGUGGGGGAUAACGCAGCGAAAGCUGUGCUAAUGCCGCAUACGCCCUGAGGGGGAAAGCGGGGGAUCGAAAGACCUCGCGCGAUUAGAGCGGCCGAUGACUGAUUAGCUUGUUGGUGGGGUAAAAGCCCACCAAGGCGACGAUCAGUAGCUGGUCUGAGAGGACGAUCAGACACCCUGGGACUGAGACACGGCCCAGACUCCUACGGGAGGCAGCAGUGGGUAAUUUUGGACAAUGGGGGCAACCCUGAUCCAGCAAUGCCGCGUGAGUGAAGAAGGCCUUCGGGUUGUAAAGCUCUUUUGUCAGGGAAGAAACACCGGCUCUAACACAGUCCGGGAAUGACGGUACCUGAAGAAUAAGCACCGGCUAACUACGUGCCAGCAGCCGCCGUAA